AAACUCUCUAAGACUUUCCCCACACUGACUCCUGCCUGACACCUCAUUCUACAAGCUUCCUGACCUCAUUCCGAUUAUCCAGUGAGGGGAUGAUUUUCUUUUCAACACUCAAGAUGCUUGUCAUGCAAUACUGUCUCAAGAUGGCUGGGACACAUGAAAAGGCCAGUCAUGCUAUCUGAAGCUGCAGAAUCUCCAUGACACAGAGCAAUGAAAGGAUAAAUGGGAGGAGGCCCUGUGAGGAUCCAAUAUUGUCACAGAAGCCAGAGAUCUCAAACAGACCAAUGACUCAUCGCAGUGGACAUUUACAAGAGAAGGUGUGUGAAUGCAGUACACACUGUGACAAACUACAGCUUUCAGGACGAGGAAACUCCAUCAGUAAACUGGCAUGGUGUGGCAGCAAUGGAAGUAGGAACCAAUGAAUCUGAUCAAGAAACAAUGAAAAUGGAGGCAUGAAGACUUUGCUCAGAAACAAAUCCUUCAAACACGGCCCAUCUUUAGACACCUUCCUCUUGCACUGUAUCUGGCUGAGAUA